ACACUAUUUAGCUGUCUAACCAAGUCACAAAAGGGUUCACUUUUAAUUUCGUAUCUUUGAUGGACUUGAAAGUGAGCAAAUGGGUGAACUCUAUGAGGCAGUGAGCUGACCAAUCAGCUGCCAGCUAGGCUCCGUUACAGUUACGCCUCUAGUUUCGCGUCUCUGCAUGUUCUUUUGGCGCUUGCACUCGAGCAUGGGAGGCUGCGUUAUCCACUUGAGUGUAAAAGGGAGCUGCGCCUGAAUCCACUGUGGUCACAGAGCUAAAGGCAGUGAAUUCCGCUAAAAUGGUCAGGUUUUGGUAAAGAGUUGGGAACAUCGUGCAGAGAUCCUUUCCACAGAGUGAUACAGAUCCACACGUUCCAGACGUUCCCCCAGAGAUUCAUAGAUUCCCAGUCCGGGUGGCUGGGUGGCGAGCCAACCGUGUUUGGGACUCUGACUUUAGACGACUUGCCAGGAUCAUC